UACCGCGGUUAGACAGGAGGUCCAAGUUGAUAAGUAUCGGUGUAGAGUGUGGUUAGGGGUUGUGGCAACUAAAGUUGAACAUCUCUUUGGCUGUUAUACGCACUUGGAAGAUGGAAGCACAAUUACGAAGGUAGCUUUAUUUAGACCUGAGUCCACGAUAGUCAGGGAA
rnacentral:rRNA from 1 species